ensembl:lncRNA
AAGUUCUGCAAGUGUAACAGAGCAAGCAAGUUCAUUUCAUUGCCAAGGAUCGUUCCUGAGCACGUAUGGAAUGUAUGGCUGUAGAUAAAUAGGUACAGACAUGCAAGAAGCAGUGUUCAGUUAGACUUGGUGGUUAAAUUCUUACAUUUUUUAGGAAGUUUUCAUUUGGCUAAUCAAGCAUUAUCUCAAAAAUGAAGGAAAACCAGGGUGAAAUUCUGUUAAUUGUCCCACAGUAUGUUAAGUGACACAAUGUAAAGAAAUAAAAAAACACUUUAAAAAAGUAACCUGUACUACUUAUGCUGGGGGAAAGCAGUGUUUCUGGGUAUCAUUUUCCUAACCCUGAAUACCUCAGAUGGUAGCAUAGUGCUUCUGACACCCUCAGCCUCUGUACAGAUACCACAAACCUUCCCCGUCUUGCCCGCUUGAAGAAGAAGAAAGCUGGGCUCUUGGCACACGAUCUGGGGGAAGAGGUUGAAAAGGGUGGGAACUGCGGGUGUUUCUGAUGAAAAGGAAGAGGCUGAAAAUGGUGGGAACUGAGGAUACUUAUGCUCAGGAUGAAACUGAAUGUCUCCUGAAGCUGCCAGACAAGGUCCUGUUACUCAGAGCUUUCCUGUAGGUUCCCUCCAGGUACAGCAAGGUGCCUUGAAGUCUUCUCUUUUCCAGGCUGAACAGCUCCAAUUCCCUGAGUGUGUCUUCAUAGGAGAGGUGCUCCAGCCAUCUGCUCACCUUCUCUGGACUCGCUUUAACAGAUCCACAUCCUUCUUGUUCUGGGGACCCCAGACCUGGAUGCAGUACUGCAGGUGCAGUCUCACCUUUGACCUGCUGGCCACGCUGCUCUGGAUGCAGCCUGGGAUACAUUUGCAUUUCUGGGCUGGGAGCGCGCAUAACCAGGACCUUGUACGUAGCCUCACUGAACUUCAUGAGGUUCACAGCUCAUGCAAGUCACACUGGUAGUGAAGAAUGUUGAGACCAGCCUGACUCAGCAAUCCCAAAACUGAACAUUCAGAAGAAGAACAAUGUUUCCCGACAGAAUCUGGUACCUCUGAGGAUGUGGCAGAGUUCCUGAUAAAGGAGCCAACAAGUGAUAGUACUAAUAAUGUAGUCUGGAGACAUGUGGCUCAAAGUCAAUAACUUUGUACUCUAAAAGCUCAGUCCCUCUUUUUAAUGGCCAGGUUUUCUAACAUACCCCUUCUCAGACUCUGAGGGGAGGUUCCUCCCUUGGGUAGGGACACCCCUCAAGGUUAAUCCUCAAGCCUGAGCAAGAGAUUUGCCCACAGGCAUUGUAUGAGUGAGUAACAUCAAUUUCCAUAAUUAUUUUGCUAGCUUUAAUAUAAUUGUUUCAAUAUUGCUUCAAUGCAUAGUGCACUAUACUAGUAGUUAAAGCUACCUGUACUGUGCAGUAAAUAAUUCUGAUUAAGGUAUUUUAAUAUUUUCAUCAUCAUAAUAAAUUAAAAUUCCUAUCUAUUUUAUUCAUAUAAAUAUGUUUGGUUUGCCAUCUUUAAUCCUGUGGGACAAUGCGGUAUUCAUAUGUCCUCUGAACAAAGAGACUUAGCUUUCUCAGGAUUUCUCCUGAGAGAAGCUGUGAGAGAAGCAGAGAAAAGAAUGACCAAAACAAUUCUUAUCUUGCUGCUGCUGGUUGUUGUGCACAUGUGGAAUGGAGAUUGUUUACUCAAGGUGAUUUCUUAAUUGGAUACUGGUGAUGGUGUUUUGGAUUGAUUGACCAAUUGGGUCACAGCUAUGUCGGGACUCUCAGCAGCCAGAGUCAGGGGUUUUCUAGUUAGUGAUAGUGCUUGUUAGUUAGUAAUAGAGGGUAAUACAGUUAUAGUAUAAUAUAGUAUAAUAAAGUAAUUAAUUAGCCUUCUGAUAUCAGGGAGUUCUGCGCAUCAUUCUUCCCGCUGGUCAGACACUGUGUUUACAAUAUGACAAAGUUGUAUAAAGGCUCAAUUACACCUAUAUAAUACUUCAGAAAUAAACCAUUGAAAGCCUGGGACUAGGAUAGGAUCCAGCUGCACCCAGACUCCUUUUUGAGAAGGAGUUUAAAAAGCAAGAGGCUCCUUUCUACACCUUGUGACUCAACAGAGCAGGGAGUCUCCCCAGUAAACUUUGUCUGAAGCUCCCAUUCUGCCCCUGACACUCUUACAACUACCUUUAAUUAAAUAACACAAUUAUUUUGUUAUCUGAUUCUAAAAGCAUUUUCUAUGGAAGAUUACCAGCAUGUAGCAUUGUGAAUGACUCAGCAUAAAUAUCUGAGCCAUUUAUCAUUAUUAGUUUUUUUUUUAAAAAGCAAUCUAUACUAGAAUACUUAGAGAAGCAUCCAUAAUUUUCCAAGUUUUAAAUAACAUAUGUGAUAUUUACAUUCCCUUUAGAAAAGACAAUGGCACUUUCUCACCUUUGUUACCUUCAGAGAGUUUACAUUAUCAAGAACCCACUAUCAGCAAUUACUUAUGCAUUUUAAGUAACAGUUUUGCAUUUCUGCUCCAGUUUUGCCAAAACUAAAAGACACAGCUCAAAUGUAUCUGUUUUCCAGUGACAUCUAUUAUUGCCUUCUUUCAUUUAUUCAGUGAACCAGCUGUGUUGACUGAUGUCUGAGAAAUCAAGUUCAGUCACAGAAUAAUUCCAUUGUAGUCAAUUUAGUUGCAGCAAAGACCAAUUUGACCCAUGGAUUUCCACAUAUUGUAAAAGGUCAUGGAGCCUGUCAGUAGUUCAGACAGGGUUUAAAUAGAGGAUCCUCCUGAAUCCCAAUUCAAAUGAGACUCUUUUGACAUCAUCAUCACAUCUACAUAGUCAGACUGACAUUUUGUCACUCAGAGCACUGCUUAUCUGUUGCCACACCAAAAAGUGACUGUCAUGGCUUCAGCCACUUGCCCUCAUUCUUUAUUUUCAUUAAUUUAUAACUCUCUCUGUUCAGUGCAGCUGUUAAAAGCAAUGUGGAUUUCCUUUCUCUCUCCCUCCUGGGAGCUGUGGAUGAAGAAGAGGUUUCAGGCACAUUUCAGGAGGGCAGUAGCAGGGUACUGACCUCAGCCUGGGAACCCAGCAGUUUCAUUAGUGCCAGAGCAGUAGCUUGGCAGAUGAAAGCAGCUCCAUGUAGCACAGAGCAGCCUGCAUGGGAUGCUGACAGUUACAAUAAUACUCCAAUUAUGAAAGACCCUCACUGAAUGUAGUGGUUUGGACAAUGUGAUUUAUUGAAUCCCCAUCUAGUCCUGCAUAUGUAUGAUUCUUGUAUAAUAAAGGUAAAAAAAGUUUUAUAGAGGCAAGGAAAAGAAUGAUCAUCAUUCUGAAUAUCUACAAGGAAUCACAAGAAAGCUCUGACUUACCUCAUUUUAUAAUUCUUUAUUUUAAUUCUCCUUAUUUAUGAUUAUUUCCAUAGAGUAACUUUAUAUGACUUAAAAAGUAGUUAUUUUUUCUUGUUUUUCCUUUUCACAAUGUAUUUUUCAUUGUAAUACAAACCCUAACUUAUUUGAAAUUAUUCAUAAUGUCUGUUACAAUGCCAUCAUUAUAUUUCACAUAAAAGAAAACGUGCUUUUGAGCAUUACCUGUAACUCAGAAGUUCCUUCUCUACAGUCCUUGAAUUGCUCAAAUUCUUUAUCCUGUAAGAGAUUUGGACUUGUAAUUGUAAACAUAACAUUUACAGUAAUUUCAUUAUUAUAUCUUUAUUAUAUAUAAAUUUUGUACAUAAUUCA